UGCAGGGUGCGCGGGGAUGCGCGGGGAUGUGCGAGGAUGCGCGGCGCGGCGCUGCAGGCGCGGCCCAAGGCCCCUCGGGGGUCGCGUCACCGAGGAGGUGAAGCCCGGAGCUGGAUCAUCGGUGCCUCCCGCCCUUGGGACCUUGCUGUGACACCCUGUAUCACCAUUGGCCGCUUCAGUGGACUCCGUCCCUGCCAGAGUGAGAAGUCCAUGAGGUCAGAGACUGUGUCUUAUUCACUUUGGUGUGAUGUGGCUGGUGCUCCUUACAUAAAGGUUAUUGUUUA